rnacentral:rRNA from 1 species
CCUACGGGAGGCAGCAGUGGGGAAUAUUGGGCAAUGGAGGAAACUCUGACCCAGCGACGCCGCGUGCGGGAUGAAGGCCUUCGGGUUGUAAACCGCUUUCAGUAGGGAAGAAGCGAAAGUGACGGUACCUACAGAAGAAGCACCGGCUAACUAUGUGCCAGCAGCCGCGGUAAUACAUAGGGUGCAAGCGUUGUCCGGAAUUAUUGGGCGUAAAGAGCUCGUAGGUGGUUCGUCACGUCGGAUGUGAAAAUCUGGGGCUCAACCCCAGACCUGCAUUCGAUACGGGCGAUCUAGAGUGUGGUAGGGGAGACUGGAAUUCCUGGUGUAGCGGUGGAAUGCGCAGAUAUCAGGAGGAACACCAAUGGCGAAGGCAGGUCUCUGGGCCAUUACUGACACUGAGGAGCGAAAGCGUGGGGAGCGAACAGGGUUAGAUACCCUGGUAGUCCACGCCGUAAACGGUGGGCACUAGUUGUGGGAACCUUCCACGGUUUCUGCGACGCAGCUAACGCAUUAAGUGCCCCGCCUGGGGAGUACGAUCGCAAGNUUAAAACUUAAAGGAAUUGACGG